rnacentral:rRNA from 1 species
AUAAGGAUUGACAGAUUGAGAGCUCUUUCUUGAUUCUUUGGGUGGUGGUGCAUGGCCGUUCUUAGUUGGUGGAGUGAUUUGUCUGGUUAAUUCCGUUAACGAACGAGACCUCAACCUAUUAAAUAGUAGAAACAUUCUUCCGGAUGUGGGAUACUUCUUAGAGGGACUUUUCGCUUUUAGCGGAAGGAAGUUUGAGGCAAUAACAGGUCUGUGAUGCCCUUAGAUGUCCUGCGCCGCACGCGCGCUACAAUGAC